rnacentral:rRNA from 1 species
UAAUUAAGCGGAGGAGAAGAAACUAACUAGGAUUGGGUUAGUAACGGCGAGUGAAGCCCCAUCAGCCCAGCAUGAGAAUCGUCACGCGUGAUGAAUUGUGGUAUGCAGGCCUUCUUGUUAGCUUGUGGACUAAGUCCCCUGGAAUGGGGCAGCGCAGAGGGUGAGACUCCCGUGUGUCCGCUAGCGGGAGAGUUGGUCAAUGAGUCGAGUUGUUUGGGAUUGCAGCUCUAAUCGGGUGGUAAAUUCCAUCCAAGGCUAAAUAUUGGUGAGAGACCGAUAGCGUACAAGUACCGUGAGGGAAAGAUGCAAAGCCGCGCGAAAGCGCUGUCAAAGAGUACCUGAAAUUGCUGAAAUGGAAGCGAAGUAAACCAGUGUUAGCCUACCCGCACUUCUUUGAUUGCUUGCGGUCACGGCGCUGCGGCUGGUGUUGUUCCGGUUGGCAUCUUGCAGCGGAUGACUUUAGUGCUGCAUGCUGCUGCUUAGGACAAAAUGGUUUUCUUCUCCCCG